rnacentral:rRNA from 1 species
GGAUCAUUACAAGAAGCCGAAAGGCUACUUCAAACCAUCGCGAACUCGUCCAAGUUGCUUCGGCGGCGCGGCACCCCUUAACGGGGGCGCCGCAGCCCUGCCUCUCCGGAGGUUCGGGGCGCCCGCCGGAGGUACGAAACUCUGUAUUAUAGUGGCAUCUCUGAGUACAAAACAAAUAAGUUAAAACUUUCAACAACGGAUCUCUUGGUUCUGGCAUCGAUGAAGAACGCAGCGAAAUGCGAUAAGUAAUGUGAAUUGCAGAAUUCAGUGAAUCAUCGAAUCUUUGAACGCACAUUGCGCCCGGUAGUACUCUACCGGGCAUGCCUGUUCGAGCGUCAUUUCAACCCUCAAGCCCUGCUUGGUGUUGGGGCCCUACGGCUGCCGUAGGCCCUGAAAGGAAGUGGCGGGCUCGCUACAACUCCGAGCGUAGUAAUUCAUUAUCUCGCUAGGGAGGUUGCGGCGUGCUCCUGCCGUUAAAGACCCAUCUUUAACCAAGGUUGACCUCGGAUCAGGUAGGAAUACCCGCUGAACUUAAGCAUAUCAAUAAGCGGAGGAAAAGAAACCAACAGGGAUUGCCCUAGUAACGGCGAGUGAAGCGGCAACAGCUCAAAUUUGAAAUCUGGCUUCGGCCCGAGUUGUAAUUUGUAGAGGAUGCUUUUGGUGAGGUGCCUUCUGAGUUCCCUGGAACGGGACGCCAGAGAGGGUGAGAGCCCCGUAUAGUCGGCCACCGAUCCUUUGUAAAGCUCCUUCGACGAGUCGAGUAGUUUGGGAAUGCUGCUCAAAAUGGGAGGUAUAUCUCUUCUAAAGCUAAAUAUAGGCCAGAGACCGAUAGCGCACAAGUAGAGUGAUCGAAAGAUGAAAAGCACUUUGAAAAGAGGGUUAAAUAGCACGUGAAAUUGUUGAAAGGGAAGCGCUUGUGACCAGACUUGUGCCGGGCUGAUCAUCCAGUGUUCUCACUGGUGCACUCGACCCGGCUCAGGCCAGCGUCGGUUUUCGUGGGGGGAUAAAAGCUUCGGGAACGUGGCACCUUCGGGUGUGUUAUAGCCCGUUGCUUAAUACCUCCGUGGAGACCGAGGU